rnacentral:rRNA from 1 species
AAUGAACGCUGGCGGCGUGCCUAACACAUGCAAGUCGAGCGCGAACGUGACUUCGGUCACUAGUAGAGCGGCGAACGGGUGAGUAACACGUGGACAACCUGCCCAGUAGUGGGGGACAACUUGGGGAAACCUAAGCUAAUACCGCAUACGUUCCAUUGGCCUCGGCCGAUGGGGGAAAGAUCGCCUAUCCUUGGAAGCGGUCGCUAUUGGAGGGGUCCGCGGCUGAUUAGCUAGUUGGUGAGGUAAUGGCUCACCAAGGCGACGAUCAGUAGCCGGCCUGAGAGGGCGAUCGGCCACACUGGAACUGAGACACGGUCCAG